rnacentral:rRNA from 1 species
GUGGGGAAUCUUGCGCAAUGGGCGAAAGCCUGACGCAGCCAUGCCGCGUGAAUGAUGAAGGUCUUAGGAUUGUAAAAUUCUUUCACCGGGGACGAUAAUGACGGUACCCGGAGAAGAAGCUCCGGCUAACUUCGUGCCAGCAGCCGCGGUAAUACGAAGGGGGCUAGCGUUGCUCGGAAUUACUGGGCGUAAAGGGCGCGUAGGCGGACAGCUUAGUCAGAGGUGAAAGCCCAGGGCGCAACAUUGGAAUUGCCUUUGAUACUGGCUGUCUUGAGUUUGGGAGAGGUGAGUGGAACUCCGAGUGUAGAGGUGAAAUUCGUAGAUAUUCGGAAGAACACCAGUGGCGAAGGCGACUCACUGGCCCAAUACUGACGCUGAGGCGCGAAAGCGUGGGGAGCAAACAGGAUUAGAUACCCCGGUAGUCC